GCAUCACAGCUUAGUUGGUUCGUUGUGUUGUCUGUUAGACGGGUGAUCCCGGGUUCGAUUCCCGGGUCAUGCA
rnacentral:tRNA from 1 species